rnacentral:rRNA from 1 species
UACAGAGGGGGCAAGCGUUGUUCGGAAUUACUGGGCGUAAAGGGCGCGUAGGUGGCCCGCUAAGUCGAACGUGAAAUCCCCGAGCUCAACUCGGGAACUGCGUCCGAUACUGGUGGGCUUGAAUCCGGGAGAGGGAUGCGGAAUUCCAGGUGUAGCGGUGAAAUGCGUAGAUAUCUGGAGGAACACCGGUGGCGAAGGCGGCAUCCUGGACCGGCAUUGACGCUGAGGCGCGAAAGCCAGGGGAGCAAACGGG